rnacentral:rRNA from 1 species
UGAUGACGAGACGCUAAGGCGUUGAAGUGGUGUAUGUCAGACUUCCAAGAAAAGCUCGCAAUGUCAUAGAUAAAAAAUGCCUGUACCAUAACCGACACAGGUGGGUAGGUAGAGUAUACUAAGGGGCGCGAGAUAACUCUCUCUAAGGAACUCGGCAAAAUGACUCCGUAACUUCGGGAGAAGGAGUGCCUUAUUUAUAAGGUUGCAAUAACAAGAUCCAAGCAACUGUUUAUCAAAAACACAGGUCUCCGCUAAGUCGUAAGACGAUGUAUGGGGGCUGACGCCUGCCCAGUGCCAGAAGGUUAAAGAAGUUGGUUAGUGUAAGCGAAGCUGAUAACUGAAGCCCUGGUGAACGGCGGCCGUAACGAUAACGGUCCUAAGGUAGCGAAAUUCCUUGUCGGGUAAGUUCCGACCCGCACGAAAGGCGUAAUGAUUUGGAUACUGUCUCGGAGAGAGGCUCGGUGAAAUAGACUUGUCUGUGAAGAUGCGGACUACCUGCACCAGGACAGAAAGACCCUAUGAAGCUUUACUGUAACUUGAAAUUGGAAUUGGACUUUGCUUGCGCAGUAUAGGUGGGAAGCGUUGAAGAUACUCUUGCGGGACUAUUGGAGCUAUCAGUGAGAUACCACUCUUGUAAUGUUAGAUUUCUAACUUUGAACCAUAAUCUGGUCAAAGAACAGUUUCAGGCGGGCAGUUUGACUGGGGCGGUCGCCUCCUAAAUGGUAACGGAGGCGUACAAAGGUUUCCUCUGAACGGAUAGAAAUCGUAUCUAGAGUGUAAAGGCAUAAGGAAGCUUGACUGUGAGACCUACAAGUCGAGCAGGGACGAAAGUCGGUCUUAGUGAUCUGACGGUACUGAGUGAAAGGCCGUCACUCAACGGAUAAAAGUUACUCUAGGAUAACAGGCUGAUCUCCCCCAAGAGUUCACAUCGACGGGGAGGUUUGGCACCUCGAUGUCGGCUCAUCGCAUCCUGGGGCGGUAGUACGUCCCAAGGGUUGGGCUGUUCGCCCAUGAAAGCGGUACGCGAGCUGGGUUCAGAACGUCGUGAGACAGUUCGGUCCAUAUCCGGUGUAGGCGUUAGAAUAUUGAGAGGAGCCUUCUUUAGUACGAGAGGACCGAGAAGGACACACCGCUGGUGUACCAGUUAUCGUGCCAACGGUAAACGCUGGGUAGCUAUGUGUGGAGAGGAUAACCGCUGAAAGCAUCUAAGUGGGAAGCCCACCUCAAGAUGAGUAUUCUCAUC